rnacentral:rRNA from 1 species
AGCGAACGCUGGCGGCAGGCUUAACACAUGCAAGUCGAGCGGGCCCUUCGGGGUCAGCGGCAGACGGGUGAGUAACACGUGGGAACGUGCCCUUCGGUUCGGAAUAACUCAGGGAAACUUGAGCUAAUACCGGAUACGCCCUUAUGGGGAAAGGCUUGCUGCCGAAGGAUCGGCCCGCGUCUGAUUAGCUAGUUGGUGAGGUUAUGGCUCACCAAGGCGACGAUCAGUAGCUGGUCUGAGAGGAUGAUCAGCCACACUGGGACUGAGACACGGCCCAGACUCCUACGGGAGGCAGCAGUGGGGAAUAUUGGACAAUGGGGGCAACCCUGAUCCAGCCAUGCCGCGUGAGUGAUGACGGCCUUAGGGUUGUAAAGCUCUUUUCUCCGGGACGAUAAUGACGGUACCGGAGGAAUAAGCCCCGGCUAACUUCGUGCCAGCCGCCGCCGUAA